AUUAGGAAUCUUGCGCAAUGGGCUAAGCGCCUGACGCAGCGACGCCGCGUGGAGGAGGACGGCCUUCGGGUUGUAAACUCCUUUUGUCACGGAAGAAACAGAUGACGGUACGUGACGAAUAAGCCCCGGCUAACUCCGUGCCAGCAGCCGCGGUAAUACGGAGGGGGCGAGCGUUGUCCGAAGUUACUGGGCGUAAAGGGCGCGUAGGCGGGAAGCUAAGUCCGCUGUCAAAGCCCGGGGCUUAACCCCGGAAGGUCGGUGGAGACUGGUUUUCUUGAAGCUGCCAGGGGGAGAUGGAAUUACCGGUGUAGCGGUGAAAUGCGUAGAUAUCGGUAGGAACACCAGUGGCGAAGGCGGUCUCCUGGAGCAGACUUGACGCUGAGGCGCGAAAGCUGGGGGAGCGAACG
rnacentral:rRNA from 1 species